GACGAACGCUGGCGGCGUGCUUAACACAUGCAAGUCGAACGGAAAGGCCCCUUUGGGGGUACUCGAGUGGCGAACGGGUGAGUAACACGUGAGUAACCUGCCCUUGACUUCGGGAUAAAUUCAGGAAACUGGGGCUAAUACCGGCUAGGAAUCCUUGCUGCAUGGUGGGGGUUGGUAAGCUUCGGCGGUUUUGGAUGGACUCGCGGCUUAUCAGCUUGUUGGUGGGGUAGUGGCUUACCAAGGCUUUGACGGGUAGCCGGCCUGAGAGGGCGACCGGCCACAUUGGGACUGAGAUACGGCCCAGACUCCUACGGGAGGCAGCAGUGGGGAAGAUUGCACAAGGGGCGGAAGGCUGAUGCAGCAACGCCGCGUGCGGGAUGACGGCCUUCGGGUUGUAAACCGCUUUCAGCAGGGGCGAAGCUUGUGGUGACGGUACCUGCAGAAGAAGCACCGGCUAACUACGUG
rnacentral:rRNA from 1 species